CCUACGGGAGGCUGCAGUGAGGAAUAUUGGUCAAUGGCCGGAAGGCUGAACCAGCCAAGCCGCGUGAAGGACGAAUGUGCCAAGCAUUGUAAACUUCUUUUGUCAGGGGACAAAAUCAGGCACGAGUGCCUGUCCGAGGGUACUUGAAGAAAAAGCAUCGGCUAACUCCGUGCCAGCAGCCGCGGUAAUACGGAGGAUGCGAGCGUUAUCCGGAUUUAUUGGGUUUAAAGGGUGCGUAGGCGGGCUGUUAAGUCAGCGGUAAAAGCCCGGGGCUCAACCCCGUCGAGCCGUUGAAACUGGCUGUCUUGAGAUGUCGAGAGGUAUGCGGAAUGCGCAGUGUAGCGGUGAAAUGCUUAGAUAUUGCGCAGAACUCCGAUUGCGAAGGCAGCAUACCGGCGGCGGUCUGACGCUGAGGCACGAAAGCGUGGGUAUCGAACAGGAUUAGAUACCCGAGUAGUC
rnacentral:rRNA from 1 species